UCUACACAAUUGAUUAAUUGGUCAAAAGUACAGCAGAUAACUGAAACAAUCCUGCAAAUGGUGAUAGAAUCAACAAAUUCAGGACAAAUACUCAUUACU